rnacentral:rRNA from 1 species
AUUGAACGCUGGCGGCAGGCCUAACACAUGCAAGUCGAACGAGUGGCGGACGGGUGAGGAAUGUCUGGGACCCUGCCUGAUGGAGGGGGAUAAAUACUGGAAACGGUAGCUCAUACCGCAUACCAUCGGAUGUGCCCAGAGUGGAUUAGCUAGUAGGUGGGGUAAAGGCUCACCUAGGCGACGAUCCCUAGCUGGUCUGCGAGGAUGACCAGCCACACGGGAACUGAGACACGGGCCAGACUCCUACGGGAGGCAGCAGGGGGGAAUAUUGCACAAUGGGCGCAAGCCUGAUGCAGACAUGCCGCGUGUAUGAAGAAGGCCUUCGGGUUGUAAAGUACUUUCAGCGGGGAGGCGUGACCCGCAGAAGAAGCACCGGCUAACUCCGUGCCAGCAGCCGCGGUAAUAC